CAGAUACUGAUUAAGUGCUAAAAAUGUAAUAAACAUUUGUUGAAUGAACCUGUGAGUGAAUGAUAUACUGUAAAUGAAGUAAUAAACAACUACUUGAAUUUGAAGACUAUCUUUAUUAGUAACAAAUCGAGUGCUUCUAAACAUUAGACCAUUAUCAGAAGACAAUGAGAAAGAACUCAUUGAGAAUACAUUUAGUGAGACACUGAAGAACAAACAUCAAAGUGUCCGUGCCCGAAUACUUCUCUUUGAUCUCUUACAUGACCGUAACCCUGACCUUAUUUGCCCCAAAGUAUGUCUUCUUUCUUGUAUAUGUAGGAUGAUUCUUUUCACUUAAUAUUACUAAAUCCCCGGCCCCCAAAAUAAUUAUUUCUUUGGUACAUCAACUUGGCUUUACCUUUUUUCUUUUGUGUUUUGCAGUUAUCUCCCCACGGAUGUAGAAAACUGAGUGGAUGGUUUGGGGGUCACUGGGUUUAGGAUUCAGAUCACGACUGGGUUGCUCACGGGCUGAAUAAUCUUAUACGGGCUAUCUGAGAGCUUCUGGUUCUUCACUUGGGAAGGGGGGUACUAGCAGCUUUCAUGGCUCACGAUUGUGGGAGGAAUUCUGUCAUCAGUGUAGUCAAGCACAGCUACAUUGUGGCACUGGAAAACGUCCUAGUCCUCUUCUUUGGGUGGAUUCUGUGUCCCAACCCACCAGCCAGAGUCAGCCUUAAAUAAGUAUUUAUUGACUGGCUACAUAUAUUUUAUUUUUUAAUUUUUUUGGUACCGGGGAUCGAACUCGGGUCCUUGCGCUUGCGCAGCAGGCAGUGAAACCACUGAGCUAAAUCCCUGGCCCCAUGUGUUUUAAAGUGUAUUUUUCCAGAGGAGACUUAUGGACGCAAAAGUCCCACCUAUUAUUUCUCAUAAUCAGUUGCUGUUCAGCCUCCGGGAAGAAGGCUGAUUUGCAGAGUCAUUUGCAAUAUGUGACUCAACUUGUUUCUCUGUAAUCUUCACGAGGAUUUAAUUUUAUAACUUGUAUUUGUCUUUGCUAAAUUAAUAUGUAAAAAGUGAUAUUUCAUUGUUGCUUUAAUUUGCAUUUAUUUGGAAAAUGAGAAAAAUUCCCAAGUAGUGGCUUAGGGUUUGUGUUUCUCUUUAUGUCAUUUGUCAGUGACAAGAUUUCAAAAUGGACUAGGCUGACGAAGUUUGGUAAGAAAGAGUUAAAAGUGGUUAGUGUUUCGAGUUGCCUAAGCUUUACUUCUGCAUUUGUUUAUUCUUUUAUUUAUUCCUUAAUGAGAACCUACUACAGGCCAGGCAGUGUCCUUGCACACACUAUGAAAAACCAUAAAUGGAAUAGUCAGCGAUUUCCAACCCAGCCUCCUCAUUUAACAUGUGUGGUAGCUGAGGCCUAGAAAAAUGAGGUUAAUUAACCUGGGGUCAUAUGACUUCUUCAAUGGCAGAGCCAACUCUAUACUUGAACAGUAAUGAUUUAAAAUGGGUUAUGAUAUCAGUAGCCUCUUACACCUUGGAGACAACCUGGAAUCUCAGACUUUAACUCUCCCAACAGUGCCUCCAUUGAGAAAGUGGAGUCUUUACUUUUGAUUUAGAGUAUAUGGUCAUGUGGUUCUUCGGUCUUUUUUUGUGUAUGUAGUUCUUUACUAGACCUCCCUGGCAUUUUCAUUCACUUUUAUUCUUAAGUGAACAAACUUAAUAUUGAAACAGUAGCUUGGGCCAACUGUGAGUGGUUUUGGACAUGUUUUUGGUAGGUGGGAGGGACAGAUGACAUAUUUUCCCAUCAAAUAAAAUAGCCGAUUUAGAUUUAAUAAGGCAGUUAUCUUCAGGUAAUAAAAAUUCAACUAACUUGCCAUAACUAUCUUGUUUAAAGUCAAUUAAGAGGCUCAUAUUCCUCACUUGCAGGGUAAAAUUUAAUAGAAC
ensembl:lncRNA